rnacentral:ncRNA from 1 species
UAAAUUUGCGCCUCGGUAAAUAAUUUACCAUACAUAAUAAUCAUUUAAAUAAUAUUAGCAUG